rnacentral:rRNA from 1 species
CCUUUGACGUUAGCGGCGGACGGGUGAGUAACACGUGGGUAACCUACCUAUAAGACUGGGAUAACUUCGGGAAACCGGAGCUAAUACCGGAUAAUAUUUCGAACCGCAUGGUUCGACAGUGAAAGAUGGUUUUGCUAUCACUUAUAGAUGGACCCGCGCCGUAUUAGCUAGUUGGUAAGGUAACGGCUUACCAAGGCGACGAUACGUAGCCGACCUGAGAGGGUGAUCGGCCACACUGGAACUGAGACACGGUCCAGACUCCUACGGGAGGCAGCAGGG